rnacentral:rRNA from 1 species
GGGUUGUGAGGUUAAGCGACUAAGCGUACACGGUGGAUGCCCUGGCAGUCAGAGGCGAUGAAGGACGUGCUAAUCUGCGAAAAGCGUCGGUAAGGUGAUAUGAACCGUUAUAGCCGGCGAUGUCCGAAUGGGGAAACCCAGUGCAAUUCGUUGCACUAUCGUUAACUGAAUACAUAGGUUAACGAGGCGAACCGGGGGAACUGAAACAUCUAAGUACCCCGAGGAAAAGAAAUCAACCGAGAUUCCCCCAGUAGCGGCGAGCGAACGGGGAGCAGCCCAGAGUCUGAAUCAGCUUGUGUGUUAGUGGAACGGUCUGGAAAGUCCGACGGUACAGGGUGAUAGUCCCGUACACCAAAAUGCACAGGUUGUGAACUCGAAGAGUAGGGCGGGACACGUGGUAUCCUGUCUGAAUAUGGGGGGACCAUCCUCCAAGGCUAAAUACUCCUGACUGACCGAUAGUGAACCAGUACCGUGAGGGAAAGGCGAAAAGAACCCCGGCGAGGGGAGUGAAAAAGAACCUGAAACCGUGUACGUACAAGCAGUGGGAGCACCUUCGGGUGUGACUGCGUACCUUUUGUAUAAUGGGUCAGCGACUUAUAUUCUGUAGCAAGGUUAACCGUAUAGGGGAGCCGCAGGGAAACCGAGUCUUAACUGGGCGUUAAGUUGCAGGGUAUAGACCCGAAACCCGGUGAUCUAGCCAUGGGCAGGUUGAAGGUUGGGUAACACUAACUGGAGGACCGAACCGACUAAUGUUGAAAAAUUAGCGGAUGACUUGUGGCUGGGGGUGAAAGGCCAAUCAAACCGGGAGAUAGCUGGUUCUCCCCGAAAGCUAUUUAGGUAGCGCCUCGUGAAUUCAUCUUCGGGGGUAGAGCACUGUUUCGGCUAGGGGGUCAUCCCGACUUACCAACCCGAUGCAAACUACGAAUACCGAAGAAUGUUAUCACGGGAGACACACGGCGGGUGCUAACGUCCGUCGUGAAGAGGGAAACAACCCAGACCGCCAGCUAAGGUCCCAAAGUCAUGGUUAAGUGGGAAACGAUGUGGGAAGGCACAGACAGCCAGGAUGUUGGCUUAGAAGCAGCCAUCAUUUAAAGAAAGCGUAAUAGCUCACUGGUCGAGUCGGCCUGCGCGGAAGAUGUAACGGGGCUAAACCAUGCACCGAAGCUGCGGCAGCGACACUAUGUGUUGUUGGGUAGGGGAGCGUUCUGUAAGCCUGCGAAGGUGACCUGUGAGGGUUGCUGGAGGUAUCAGAAGUGCGAAUGCUGACAUAAGUAACGAUAAAGCGGGUGAAAAGCCCGCUCGCCGGAAGACCAAGGGUUCCUGUCCAACGUUAAUCGGGGCAGGGUGAGUCGACCCCUAAGGCGAGGCCGAAAGGCGUAGUCGAUGGGAAACAGGUUAAUAUUCCUGUACUUGGUGUUACUGCGAAGGGGGGACGGAGAAGGCUAUGUUAGCCGGGCGACGGUUGUCCCGGUUUAAGCAUGUAGGCUGAUUGUCCAGGCAAAUCCGGAUAAUCAAGGCUGAGGUGUGAUGACGAGGCACUACGGUGCUGAAGUAACAAAUGCCCUGCUUCCAGGAAAAGCCUCUAAGCAUCAGGUAACAUCAAAUCGUACCCCAAACCGACACAGGUGGUCAGGUAGAGAAUACCAAGGCGCUUGAGAGAACUCGGGUGAAGGAACUAGGCAAAAUGGUGCCGUAACUUCGGGAGAAGGCACGCUGGUGUGUAGGUGAAGUCCCUGCGGAUGGAGCUGAGACCAGUCGAAGAUACCAGCUGGCUGCAACUGUUUAUUAAAAACACAGCACUGUGCAAACACGAAAGUGGACGUAUACGGUGUGACGCCUGCCCGGUGCCGGAAGGUUAAUUGAUGGGGUUAUCCGUAAGGAGAAGCUCUUGAUCGAAGCCCCGGUAAACGGCGGCCGUAACUAUAACGGUCCUAAGGUAGCGAAAUUCCUUGUCGGGUAAGUUCCGACCUGCACGAAUGGCGUAAUGAUGGCCAGGCUGUCUCCACCCGAGACUCAGUGAAAUUGAACUCGCUGUGAAGAUGCAGUGUACCCGCGGCAAGACGGAAAGACCCCGUGAACCUUUACUAUAGCUUGACACUGAACAUUGAGCCUUGAUGUGUAGGAUAGGUGGGAGGCUUUGAAGCGUGGACGCCAGUCUGCGUGGAGCCAACCUUGAAAUACCACCCUUUAAUGUUUGAUGUUCUAACGUUGGCCCCUGACCGGGGUUGCGGACAGUGUCUGGUGGGUAGUUUGACUGGGGCGGUCUCCUCCCAAAGCGUAACGGAGGAGCACGAAGGUUAGCUAAUCCUGGUCGGACAUCAGGAGGUUAGUGCAAUGGCAUAAGCUAGCUUGACUGCGAGCGUGACGGCGCGAGCAGGUGCGAAAGCAGGUCAUAGUGAUCCGGUGGUUCUGAAUGGAAGGGCCAUCGCUCAACGGAUAAAAGGUACUCCGGGGAUAACAGGCUGAUACCGCCCAAGAGUUCAUAUCGACGGCGGUGUUUGGCACCUCGAUGUCGGCUCAUCACAUCCUGGGGCUGAAGUAGGUCCCAAGGGUAUGGCUGUUCGCCAUUUAAAGUGGUACGCGAGCUGGGUUUAGAACGUCGUGAGACAGUUCGGUCCCUAUCUGCCGUGGGCGCUGGAGAAUUGAGGGGGGCUGCUCCUAGUACGAGAGGACCGGAGUGGACGCAUCACUGGUGUUCGGGUUGUCAUGCCAAUGGCACUGCCCGGUAGCUAAAUGCGGAAGAGAUAAGUGCUGAAAGCAUCUAAGCACGAAACUUGCCCCGAGAUGAGUUCUCCCUGAGACUUUAAGUCUCCUGAAGGAACGUUGAAGACGACGACGUUGAUAGGCCGGGUGUGUAAGCGCAGCGAUGCGUUGAGCUAACCGGUACUAAUGAACCGUGAGGCUUAACCUUACAACGCCGAAG